UACGAAGGGGGCUAGCGUUGCUCGGAAUCACUGGGCGUAAAGCGCACGUAGGCGGAUUGUUAAGUCAGGGGUGAAAUCCUGGAGCUCAACUCCAGAACUGCCUUUGAUACUGGCGAUCUUGAGUCCGGGAGAGGUGAGUGGAACUGCGAGUGUAGAGGUGAAAUUCGUAGAUAUUCGGAAGAACACCAGUGGCGAAGGCGGCUCACUGGCCCGUUACUGACGCUGAGGCACGAAAGCGUGGGGAGCAAACAGGG
rnacentral:rRNA from 1 species